UUUCCGGUUGAUCCUGCCGGACCUGACUGCUAUCGGAUUGAUACUAAGCCAUGCGAGUCAUUGUAGCAAUACAAGGCAGACGGCUCAGUAACGCGUAGUCAACCUACCCUAUGGACGGGAAUAACCUCGGGAAACUGAGUAUAAUGCCCGAUAGAACAUUAUGCCUGGAAUGGUUUAUGUUCCAAAUGAUUUAUCGCCAUAGGAUGGGACUGCGGCCUAUCAGUUUGUUGGUGAGGUAAUGGCCCACCAAGACUAUUACAGGUACGGGCUCUGAGAGGAGUAGCCCGGAGAUGGGUACUGAGACACGGACCCAGGCCCUAUGGGGCGCAGCAGGCGAGAAAACUUUGCAAUGUGCGAAAGCACGACAAGGUUAAUCCGAGUGGUUUCUGCUAAAGGAACCUUUUGUUAGUCCUAAAAACACUAACGAAUAAGGGGUGGGCAAGUUCUGGUGUCAGCCGCCGCGGUAAAACCAGCACCUCAAGUGGUCAGGAUGAUUAUUGGGCCUAAAGCAUCCGUAGCCUGCUCUGUAAGUUUUCGGUUAAAUCUGUAUGCUCAACAUACAGGCCGCCGGGAAUACUGCAGAGCUAGGGAGUGGGAGAGGUAGACGGUACUCGGGAGGAAGUGGUAAAAUGCUUUGAUCUCUCGAUGACCACCUGUGGCGAAGGCGGUCUACCAGAACACGUCCGACGGUGAGGGAUGAAAGCUGGGGGAGCAAACCGGAUUAGAUACCCGGGUAGUCCCAGCUGUAAACUAUGCAAACUCAGUGAUGCAUUGGCUUGUGGCCAAUGCAGUGUUGCAGGGAAGCCGUUAAGUUUGCCGCCUGGGAAGUACGUACGCAAGUAUGAAACUUAAAGGAAUUGGCGGGGGAGCACCACAAGGGGUGAAGCCUGCGGUUCAAUUGGAGUCAACGCCGGGA
rnacentral:rRNA from 1 species